rnacentral:snoRNA from 1 species
CACCUCCACAUGAUGAAUUAUUACGGAUGUAAAUUUUUGUCACAACUGAAGCGCAAUACUGUUGAGAUUUCCGUUGCCUUCCUUCUGAUCGGAGAC